GACGAACGCUGGCGGCGCGCCUAACACAUGCAAGUCGAGCGAUCAAACUUUAACAGAACCUUUCGGGGCGAAGAGAAAGUGGAUUAGCGGCGGACGGGUGAGUAACACGUGAGUAACCUGCCAUAGACAUUGGGAUAGCGUCGGGAAACCGGGAUAAAUACCAAAUAAAAUCAUAAUGACAAAUGUCAUAAGGACUAAAACUCCGGUGGUCUAAGUUGGACUCGUGUCCCAUUAGCUAGUUGGUAGAGUAAAAGCCAACCAAGGGGAGGAUGGCUAGCCGGGCUGGGAGGGUGGCCCGACACCUUGGCGCUGGGAAGCAGUCGGGACUCCUACGCAAAGCGGCAAUGCGGGACAUUGCACAACGGAGUGAGCUAUGAUGCUGCGACGCCGGGAGAACGAUGAAGUCUUUCAAGUCGUAAUGUUCUUUUAAAUGGGAAUAUAAUGACGGUACCUUAAGAGAAAGCCCCGGCUAACUACGUG
rnacentral:rRNA from 1 species